CAGUAGCCGCGGUAAUACGAAGGGUGCAAGCGUUACUCGGAAUUACUGGGCGUAAAGCGUGCGUAGGUGGUGGUUUAAGUCCGUUGUGAAAGCCCUGGGCUCAACCUGGGAAUUGCAGUGGAUACUGGGUCACUAGAGUGUGGUAGAGGAUAGUGGAAUUUCCUGUGUAGCAGUGAAAUGCGUAGAGAUCGGAAGGAACAUCUGUGGCGAAGGCGACUAUCUGGGCCAACACUGACACUGAGGCACGAAAGCGUGGGGAGCAAACAGGAUUAGAUACCCCAGUAGUCCCUGUCUCUUAUAC
rnacentral:rRNA from 1 species